CAGGCUUAACACAUGCAAGUCGAGGGGCAGCAUGGUCUUAGCUUGCUAAGGCCGAUGGCGACCGGCGCACGGGUGAGUAACACGUAUCCAACCUGCCGUCUACUCUUGGACAGCCUUCUGAAAGGAAGAUUAAUACAAGAUGGCAUCAUGAGUCCGCAUGUUCACAUGAUUAAAGGUAUUCCGGUAGACGAUGGGGAUGCGUUCCAUUAGAUAGUAGGCGGGGUAACGGCCCACCUAGUCUUCGAUGGAUAGGGGUUCUGAGAGGAAGGUCCCCCACAUUGGAACUGAGACACGGUCCAAACUCCUACGGGAGGCAGCAGUGAGGAAUAUUGGUCAAUGGGCGAGAGCCUGAACCAGCCAAGUAGCGUGAAGGAUGACUGCCCUAUGGGUUGUAAACUUCUUUUAUAAAGGAAUAAAGUCGGGUAUGGAUACCCGUUUGCAUGUACUUUAUGAAUAAGGAUCGGCUAACUCCGUGCCAGCAGCCGCGGUAAUACGGAGGAUCCGAGCGUUAUCCGGAUUUAUUGGGUUUAAAGGGAGCGUAGAUGGAUGUUUAAGUCAGUUGUGAAAGUUUGCGGCUCAACCGUAAAAUUGCAGUUGAUACUGGAUAUCUUGAGUGCAGUUGAGGCAGGCGGAAUUCGUGGUGUAGCGGUGAAAUGCUUAGAUAUCACGAAGAACUCCGAUUGCGAAGGCAGCCUGCUAAGCUGCAACUGACAUUGAGGCUCGAAAGUGUGGGUAUCAAACAGGAUUAGAUACCCUGGUAGUCCACACGGUAAACGAUGAAUACUCGCUGUUUGCGAUAUACUGCAAGCGGCCAAGCGAAAGCGUUAAGUAUUCCACCUGGGGAGUACGCCGGCAACGGUGAAACUCAAAGGAAUUGACGGGGGCCCGCACAAGCGGAGGAACAUGUGGUUUAAUUCGAUGAUACGCGAGGAACCUUACCCGGGCUUAAAUUGCAGAUGAAUUACGGUGAAAGCCGUAAGCCGCAAGGCAUCUGUGAAGGUGCUGCAUGGUUGUCGUCAGCUCGUGCCGUGAGGUGUCGGCUUAAGUGCCAUAACGAGCGCAACCCUUGUUGUCAGUUACUAACAGGUUCCGCUGAGGACUCUGACAAGACUGCCAUCGUAAGAUGUGAGGAAGGUGGGGAUGACGUCAAAUCAGCACGGCCCUUACGUCCGGGGCUACACACGUGUUACAAUGGGGGGUACAGAGGGCCGCUACCACGCGAGUGGAUGCCAAUCCCCAAAACCUCUCUCAGUUCGGACUGGAGUCUGCAACCCGACUCCACGAAGCUGGAUUCGCUAGUAAUCGCGCAUCAGCCACGGCGCGGCGAAUACGUUCCCGGGCCUUGUACACACCGCCCGUCAAGCCGUGGGAGCCGGGGGUACCUGAAGUGCGUAACCGCGAGGAGCGCCCUAGGGUAAAACUGGUGACUGGG
rnacentral:rRNA from 1 species